UAACCCUAAAUUCUUGCCCAAUACAUAAUCUGCAUCUGUUUCAUCUAACCAAUCAUAUCUUGCCAUGACUAGGUUUUGCUAUUUAGGGUUUCUUUUCAUUUUAGGGUUUCCAUUCCAUUUCAUUUUAGGGUAUGUGGAACACAUGCAUUGGGCCCAGUAGCAUAUAUAUUUCUCUUUUCCCAAAUUUUAUUCAUUUGUGAAGUUUUUUUCUCUCUCUUCUUUCUUUUCUCUCUCAUUCGAUCUCUUUUUUCUCAGCAUCUCUCAUCUAUGCCCCAUCUCAUCCUUCACCCUAACAUCCAUCACAACCUCCACCAAGAUCAACUCAAAAUUCACAUGCAAGUGUAGAUUUGUAAUCCUUGAGUCUUGGGCUUUCAAGGAAGGUAAGCAUCAAACCAAUCUCUCCAUUCCUUCUCAAAUUAGUGUCUUUUAAUCAAGCCUAAGAUUGAGUUUCAUCUUGCAUAUGAGCUUCAAGGAUCAAGAAGCCAUGGUUAAGGGAUUUGGAGCAAUUUAGAAGAAGAUUGAUGAAACCCGUGUUCCUAGACAGGGCUUCCCUAAAACGGUCAGUACUCUCUCCUCGUAGCUCUGAUUUAAAUUUCGUUUGUUGCUAUGGAAAGCUAACGAAAUUCCCGUCAUUUUGGGUACAAGUUUCGCUAUUUUUGGAUCAGUAUUGAUGUCUGAACAUGCUUCUGAAGUUGAGGGUUGAAGCUGUCAAAAUGGUGUUUUGAGGGCUGCGGGUUUGGGUACACAAACGGUGCAAAUGGAUGAUUUUAGGCUUGCGGAACAACGUGGUACGGCUGUUGAAUCAGGUGGGUUCCCUUAGGAAACGAUCACUUAAUACUUUUGAUUAUUGUGUUAUUAGCGUGAUUCUAAUUUGAAUUUUGUAACUGUUUAGGGAAUUCAUCAGCUUCUUUCUAUAAUUGAUGCUUUACAUCCACCAUUGCUAAAUGGUUUGCAGUUUGUGGAAGAUGCUCAACGGAAUGAGCAUGUAUUGUCAACUGGUUGUUAAGGGUAUUAUUCUCAGACUCAACUCAAACUGUAGUUGAAUGAAUUUGCAGAAUGCACAAUUUUUUUAAUACUUAUUAUGAUGUGCAUAUUAGUGGCAAAACACGAAUCUAGAAAUGUUGAAAGUGAAAUGCAAAUUUUAGUAAACCUAGCUUGCCACUACUAGGUUAACAUUUCUCCAUUGAAUCUAGGUUUAGGGUUAAAUGUGUAUGUAUGUAAUGAACAAGUGACUUGCACAUGGUUGCAAUGAUUUGGUCUGCAUCAAUUUUAUUGGACCUCUACUUGCACCAAUUAGAGAGCUCCACCAAUUACAAAGUGACACUUAGGGUUAAAUGUGUUCUGCUGUGGCCAACUUUGUAAAGUAUAAAUUCACAAAAAUCUUAACAAUAUAGAUGGUGUUGCACCUAGGGCUAAAAGGAACCAGCAAUGGUCUACGCGGUUUAGGGCAGCUAAAGAUAUGCAUCUGAUGCGGUAGGUUGCGUAGCUUAAUUUUGAAUUUUGGGUUUUAAAUUGUAUAGAUGUUGUUUGAUUACAUUGAUAGGUUGUUUCAACAAUAUGCUAUUGUUAGGCAAUACUAAGGCUGGAUUGGUGGGAAAAACAAGUCUGUUACUGAGUGAAAAGGUAGUUUUGACUUUGAGCGUAGGUUCAUGAACUUCUCAAUUUCCUUAAUUCACCGUUUAUUUAACUUUGGUUGAUUUCAUCCCUCUUAGGCCUUAGCUGCUCAUACAUGAAUAUUUUAUUUUUAUU
rnacentral:lncRNA from 1 species